ACAAGCAACCUAAACAGUGAGCAUAAGCCCUAUCCAACAGUAAAUUUACGUCAUUUUACUUCCAUUCAUCGUUUUAGGGAGUAGUUUCUGCUAAUUAACUCCUGAGCCUGCGUGCAGUUUUGAAGUUAGCUAGCUAGGAUCGAACUCUUGUGUCUUAGCUUUGCCUGCAAGCCUUGCAUUCCCUUGCAGGGAGAAGCAGAUUAGCCAUAGUCGAAAUACCGAUGAAGGCAUUCCGAGUAGGGAAAAUCAGCCAUACUUGAAGUCUAUGACUGAUUGAAAGACAUACGUGCUGAUGGAUGGCUGUAAAAGUAAUGAUCAGAGUUUCUUGUGUGGUUUUAAGUGUUUCAUCAACAAAUGAAGA
rnacentral:lncRNA from 1 species